rnacentral:rRNA from 1 species
GAUAAGACGGAUUAGCGGCGGACGGGUGAGUAACACGUGAGUAACCUGCCUUUUACACAGGGAUAGCCUCGGGAAACCGGGAUUAAAACCUGAUGAAACUAUCAAAUCACAUGAUUAAGAAAGUUAAAACUCCGGUGGUAAAAGAUGGACUCGCGUCCCAUUAGCUAGUUGGUGAAGGUAACGGCCCACCAAGGCAACGAUGGGUAGCCGGCCUGAGAGGGUGAACGGCCACAUUGGAACUGAGAAACGGUCCAAACUCCUACGGGAGGCAGCAGCU